rnacentral:rRNA from 1 species
UGGGGAAUAUUGGUCAAUGGGCGAGAGCCUGAACCAGCCAAGUAGCGUGAAGGAUGACUGCCCUAUGGGUUGUAAACUUCUUUUAUAAAGGAAUAAAGUCGGGUAUGGAUACCCGUUUGCAUGUACUUUAUGAAUAAGGAUCGGCUAACUCCGUGCCAGCAGCCGCGGUAAUACGGAGGAUCCGAGCGUUAUCCGGAUUUGUUGGGUUUAAAGGGAGCGUAGAUGGAUGUUUAAGUCAGUUGUGAAAGUUUGCGGCUCAACCGUAAAAUUGCAGUUGAUACUGGAUGUCUUGAGUGCAGUUGAGGCAGGCGGAAUUCGUGGUGUAGCGGUGAAAUGCUUAGAUAUCACGAAGAACUCCGAUUGCGAAGGCAGCCUGCUAAGCUGCAACUGACAUUGAGGCUCGAAAGUGUGGGUAUCAAACAGGAUUAGAUACCCUGGUAGUCCACACGGUAAACGAUGAAUACUCGCUGUUUGCGAUAUACGGCAAGCGGCCAAGCGAAAGCGUUAAGUAUUCCACCUGGGGAGUACGCCGGCAACGGUGAAACUCAAAGGAAUUGACGGGGGCCCGCACAAGCGGAGGAACAUGUGGUUUAAUUCGAUGAUACGCAAGGAACCUUACCCGGGCUUAAAUUGCACUCGAAUGAUCCGGAAACGGUUCAGCUAGCAAUAGCGAGUGUGAAGGUGCUGCAUGGUUGUCGUCAGCUCGUGCCGUGAGGUGUCGGCUUAAGUGCCAUAACGAGCGCAACCCUUGUUGUCAGUUACUAACAGGUGAUGCUGAGGACUCUGACAAGACUGCCAUCGUAAGAUGUGAGGAAGGUGGGGAUGACGUCAAAUCAGCACGGCCCUUACGUCCGGGGCUACACACGUGUUACAAUGGGGGGUACAGAGGGCCGCUACCACGCGAGUGGAUGCCAAUCCCUAAAACCCCUCUCAGUUCGGACUGGAGUCUGCAACCCGACUCCACGAAGCUGGAUUCGCUAGUAAUCGCGCAUCAGCCACGGCGCGGUGAAUACGUUCCC